rnacentral:rRNA from 1 species
UACAGAGGUCCCAAGCGUUGUUCGGAUUCACUGGGCGUAAAGCGUCUGUAGGUGGCUUUUUAAGUCCGCCGUCAAAUCCCAGGGCUCAACCCUGGACAGGCGGUGGAAACUACCAAGCUGGAGUACGGUAGGGGCAGAGGGAAUUUCCGGUGGAGCGGUGAAAUGCGUAGAGAUCGGAAAGAACACCAACGGCGAAAGCACCCUGCUGGGCCGACACUGACACUGAGAGACGAAAGCUAGGGGAGCGAAUGGG